GGUGGGGACCCGCUUAAGCAUUGUUGUUCCUUACAGGCUGGGAGUUGCCAGCCAGAAACUGAGUUUCUGGUGUGCCUUUGAAUGCCAGGAGGCAGGGUGCUCUGAAAAAGCAGCAGCCGGCAAGGAAACCGCUGGAGGUGGGGAGCUCCGGGCUGGUGUGGUUCUCGGCGUCUGACAAUGUAACUGAUGGCCCCCUGUCACUUCCUGUCGUACAGCCCAAGUAGUGGGGAGGAGUUCCUUGAGGGAAAGCAUGCUCUGCUCUGCUCAGAGAAUCCCGUCCGAAGGGCGCCGCCGCAGUUAGGGGCGGGGGACUCUGUGUGGAUGAGGUCGGAGCGCCCCAUGGUGUGGUGCUGCUUCUUUGUUCGCACUCAGACCCCACCCACCCCUGCCAUAAACCCCCAGUGUUCUCACUACCUGCCAUGGGAGCUGGCAUGGGAGCACUGGCCUGGGAGUCAGGAGUUUGGGGUCAAGUUCGAGGCUUUGCA
rnacentral:lncRNA from 1 species